rnacentral:misc_RNA from 1 species
ACAAGUCUGCUGUCUGUUCUUGUGCUAGCGUGGAGGGUACUCCUUCUGCGUCAAGUGCAAGGAUGACAUUUGUUCCAUGUUGCACGUUUACUCUGCACAUGACAUUCUACGAAUCAUCUGAUUAUCGACAAUGCUCAUAAACAAA